rnacentral:lncRNA from 1 species
UCCUUAAACCACGCCACAUAGCCAACAGUGUCCACGCUGCCACCUCUCGUCCUGCUCGGGAUUCUCCCAGCAGAGUGAGAAAGCCAGCAUCUCCGAGGAGGCCGUGUGUAUCAGUGGCGGCGCAGAGAGCUGGGAGGCAGGCUUGGUAUGACCCAGCUGAGUAGGAUCACCUCUGUGAACUCUUUUUCAUUCUUCGGACUUUAGUUUCCUUUUCUCUGCUUCCUGGCCUCUCAGAAGUGGUCUGCCCUAUCUUCCGCACGUUCCUGUCACUGUGAUGUGCUGCCUCACCACAGGACCUUGGCACAGAGCCAGCCCGCCAUGGAUGAAGACCUCUGAAGCCAUGAGCCUAGCAUUAACAGGUGCACAUGGAAGCUUCUAGAAACCCUUAUCUACACUGGAGAAUAAUCAGGACUGAGCAGCCUGGUGCCUUGCUGGACCCGAUUGCCAAAGUCCCUGCAGCUCUCUGAAGGUGGGGGAUUGCAGUGGGCAUCUGCUCUGUGCAGGUAAAUCAAUGAAGGACGAAGCUGUCUGCCUGGGGAGUCUGUGCCCACUGCUCUCCUCCUUGAAGCUGCAGAAAGGGAAUGUCUGACAGCUUGGUGGGGCCCUGGCCUUGGAGGAGACUUGGUCCGGAACAUUACAGGCCUGAAAGUUGGACAGACCAAGAAGGUAGCACAGAUCUGAGGUUCUAGGCCCCAGCAAGGCCCGUCCAUUGCUUUAUUUCCAGUCAACAAUAUCUAGCUGUCAAGCAGAGCCAUGGCUUUUUCACUGCCUUCAUUUCCCCAGCACCCCCCUCCACAGGGAGGGGCCUCCUAGGUCACUUUUACCUGCCACUUCACCUUGGGCUUCUUAUGUCCUUCCCUGGACACUGCUCCCCCACCAGACCUUCAGGACCCUGCAGGCUGGCUGCCUAGGGCCUAGAUUUAAUCAGGCCUCCCAGGGAGAAGAACCCAGAGGAGCUAAGAGUUAACACUCCACCCACUCAACCUCCCAUCCCUCCACUCCACAAACACAAGUGUCCCUGAGGCCUUCGCAGGACCAACCCUCAGCUGGGAGAUCAACUGUGUUCCUACCCUCCCUCCCUACUACACACACACACAUACACACACACACACACACACACACACACACACACACACACACACACACACACACACACACAAGCACACUUUGGUUAUACUGGGGAAGGAACCCAGGGUCUUACCCAUGUUGCUGUGAUAAAACACCAUGAGGCAGGGUUUAUUGGCUUAUGUUUUCAGAGGGUCAAGAAGAGUCCAUCACGGAGGGGCAUCGUAGCAUCAGAAACAGCUGAGGGCUCAGGUCUUGAACCAUAGGAUAGAAGCAGAGAGUGAACUAGGAAUGGUGAGUGACUUUGAAACCUAAAAGCCUGACCCCAGUGACUUACUUCCUCCAGCAAUGUCUCUCCUCCUUUCCCCCCCCUUCUUCCUCCCCCUCCUCCUCCUGCUCCUCCUCCUUCUUUGACUUUUCAAGUCAGGGUGUAGCCUUCUGAGUGCUGAGAUUAAAGAUGUGCAC